rnacentral:snoRNA from 1 species
AGGGACCAGGACGAUGGCUGGCCAAAUCCAGCUGGUGAUGGAGCCAGAGAAGAGCCGGAGGCACGCGGCGGCCGGAGGUGGCGGCCCAUCGUCUCAGUAGAAUCUGCAGAGCAUGGUGGCUGGUCCGCAGUGUGUUGAUGCAAAAAAACACAUUGGCAUGAGAGAAUUGCUUAACUCUAGCGAAGGUCCAAAAUCUCGCUUUCGGUGUCA